rnacentral:lncRNA from 1 species
GGAAGGUAGUGAGGUCUGCACAACGCAUCACCGGGGGCAAACUACCUGCCCUCCAGGACACCUACACCACCUGAUGUCACAGGAAGGCCAAAAAGAUCAUCAAGGACAACAACCACCCGAGUCACUGCCUGUUCACCCCGCUACCAUCCAGAAGGCGAGGUCAGUACAGGUGCAUCAAAGCUGACACCGAGAGACUGAAAAACAGCUUCUAUCUCAAGGCCAUCAUAUUGUUAAACAGCCAUCACUAACAUUGAGCGGCUGCUGCUAACAUACUGACUCAAAUCUCUAGCCACUUUAAUAAUAAAAAAUUGGAUGUAAUAAAUGUAUCACUAGUCACUUUAAACAAUGCCACUUUAUAUAAUGUUUACAUACCCUACAUUCCUCAUCUCAUAGGUAUAUAGUGUACUCUAUACCAUUUACUGCAUCUUGCCUAUGCCGUUCGGCCAUUGCUCAUCCAUAUAUUUACAUGUACAUAUUCUUAUUCAUUCCUAUACACUUGUGUGUAAAAGGUAGAUGUUGUGAACUUGUUAGAUUACUUGUUAGAUAUGACUGGAUGGUCAGAAGUAGAAGCACAAGCAUUUCGCUACACUCGCAUUAACAUCUGCUAACCAUGUGUAUGUGACCAAUAACAUUUGAUUUGAUUUGAUUUGUGAAUCAGGAAUCAGAGAGAGGAAAAAUGGAGGUAGUGUAUCAACAGGUGGAAGUAAAGACACAUACUGUAAUUAAACCAUCAUAAUAACAAAACAUAUUUUUUUUCAACUAAUGGAAGUGUAAAGUACUUAAGUAAAAAAUACUUUAUAGUAACACUUAAGUAGCUUUUUGGGGUAUCUACACUUUACUAUUUAUAUUUUUGACUGCUUUUACUUUUAGUUCACUACAUUCUUAAGAAAAUAUUGUACUUUUUACUCCAUACAUUUUCAUUGACACCCAAAAGUACUCAUUACAUUUUGAAUGCUUAGCAGGCCAGGAAGAUAGUGACAUUCACAGACUUAUCAACCGAACAUCCCUGGUCAUCCCUACUGCUUCUGAUCUGGCGGACUCACUAAACUGACAUGAUUUGUUUGUAAAUGAUGGCUGAGUGUUGGAGUGUGCCCCUGGCAUUCCGUAAAAAAAAGAGAAAAAAAAGAAAAUGGUGGACUCUGGUUUGCUUAAAAUAAGGAAUUUGAAAUUAUUUAUACUUUUAUUUUUCAUACUUAAGUAUAUUUUAAACCAAAUACUUAUAGACUUUUACUCAAGUAGAAUUUUACUGGGUGACUUUUACUUUUACUUGGGUCAUUUUCUAUGAAGGUAUCUUUACUUUUACUCAAGUAUGACAGUUGAGUACCUUUUCCCCCACUGAAAACUAAUAUACACCAGACAAGGUUAAAGAGAGAGAUGUAGAGAGCGAGAGAUCAGAAAGGGAGAGAGAGAUGUGAGAUGUAACAAGCAAAGUUUGACAUGUGUUCUACCCUCUUGUGGAUUUGAGACUCUAUUGACUCUUGUCAAUGAGUGAAAUAGAUUGGUGAAUACUGAUUUGUGACUGCUGACUACAUUGAGUAACUCAAUUUAGAAAAAUAUUUAUUUUAUGUUUCAGAUAGAGUUAAUUUUUUUAUUUAUUUAAUUUAACCUAAAAUGCAAAUAGUUGAAACUGCUUGUUUUCAGAAAUUAGUAGAUAUCUUUGUUGUUGUGGCAGUGUUCUUUGUGCUAUGACUAAAUUAUGAUCCAAUAUGAAGAAAAAAAGAUAGGAUUGUAACUGUAAACUAUGGCAAAACAUGUUAUCCAGUAAAUGUUUCUUCUUCUAUGAUUCUGCUAAGAGGGCGUACUCUCCAGCUAUUUCAAACUUGAUCUUGCUGCGCCCAGGUCCAACUUGGUUACCGGUAGAUGUCACUGUUGCAUAUUGAAGACUAGCUUGGUCACUGGUAGAUGUCACAGUAGCAUAUU